CGUGACCUACGGGAGGCAGCAGUGGGGAAUAUUGCACAAUGGGGGAAACCCUGAUGCAGCGACGCCGCGUGAGUGAAGAAGUAAUUCGUUAUGUAAAGCACUCUCAGCAGGGAAGAAAAUGACGGUACCUGAGUAAGAAGCCCCGGCUAACUACGUGCCAGCAGCCGCGGUAAUACGUAGGGGGCAAGCGUUAUCCGGAUUUACUGGGUGUAAAGGGAGCGUAGACGGCAGUGCAAGUCUGGAGUGAAAGGCGGGGGCUCAACCCCCGGACUGCUCUGGAACCUGUACG
rnacentral:rRNA from 1 species